UACGUAGGGGGCAAGCGUUGUCCGGAUUUAUUGGGCGUAAAGAGCGUGUAGGCGGUUCGGUAGGUCCGUUGUGAAAACUCGAGGCUCAACCUCGAGACGCCGAUGGAAACCCUCGAACUAGAGUCCGGAAGAGGAGAAUGGAAUUCCUGGUGUAGCGGUGAAAUGCGCAGAUAUCAGGAGGAACACCGGUGGCGAAGGCGGGUCUCUGGGCAAUAACUGACGCUGAGGAGCGAAAGCGUGGGGAGCGAACAGG
rnacentral:rRNA from 1 species